AAAUUUAGGUUAACUAUAAACCAAGGACCUUCAAAGCCCUAAAUAGGUAAAACCCCCCCUAAUUUCUG
rnacentral:tRNA from 1 species